UGGUUAAGUCCGCAACGAGCGCAACCCUUGUCACUAGUUGCCAUCAUUUGGUUGGGCACUCUAGUGAGACUGCCGGUGACAAACCGGAGGAAGGUGGGGAUGACGUCAAGUCCUCAUGGCCCUUAUGGGUAGGGCUUCACACGUCAUACAAUGGUCGGUACAGAGGGUUGCCAAGCCGCGAGGUGGAGCCAAUCCCUUAAAGCCGAUCGUAGUCCGGAUCGUAGUCUGCAACUCGACUACGUGAAGUCGGAAUCGCUAGUAAUCGCAGAUCAGCAUGCUGCGGUGAAUACGUUCCCGGGCCUU
rnacentral:rRNA from 1 species